UACGGUCUGAACAAUGUGCUUCAGAAGAUUCCACAGCACUUGUUCGCGUUUACUUCUGAACGAACCGGCUAGCCAUCUCAAAGAAGAAUUGCCACGCACCAAAUUAGCUGGCGGUAAACCACCGGUGAAGGCGGCGAAAGCCAGUAGCUCAGAUAUAGUGCAAUGGAAUAGGUAUAUCACCCAACACAUGCGUCAAGGAGAAUGCGAUUCAGCAUUGAGCUUAUUCAACUCUAUGCCUACAAAGUCCUGUGUAUCGUGGAACGCAAUGAUUUCUGGUUACUUAUUGAAUGGCAAACUGGACCUCGCUCAGAAGCUGUUUGACGAAAUGCCUCACAGAGACUUGGUUUCCUGGAACAUUAUGCUUAGUGGGUACAUUAAGAAUAAGAAUUUUGGGGCAGCUAAGAUUUUGUUUGAUCAAAUGCCUGUUAGAGAUGUUGUGUCGUGGAAUGCAUUGCUUUCCGGGUAUGCACAGAAUGGGUAUGUUGAUGAUGCUAGAAGUAUCUUUCUCAUGAUGCCUGUGAAGAAUGAUAUCUCUUGGAAUGGACUUCUCGCUACGUAUGUUCAGAAUGGGAGGAUUGAGGAGGCCAGGAAAUUGUUUGAGUCAAAGGUUAAUUGGCCGUUGGUUUCUUGGAAUUGCUUGUUGGGUGGGUAUUUGAGAAAGAGGAUGUUGCCCCAGGCAAAAGUGCUCUUCGAUAGAAUGCCUGUUAAGGAUCAGGUCUCAUGGAACACGAUAAUCUCUUGUUAUGCCCAGAAUGAUGAUUUGGAGGAAGCGAGGAAGUUAUUCGAUGAGUCACCUAAUAAAGAUGUGUUUACAUGGACUUCAAUGCUUUCUGGUUAUGUACAGAAUGGGAUGGUAGAUGAGGCUAGGAGGAUCUUCAAUGAGAUGCCUGAAAAGAAUGAGGUUUCAUGGAAUGCAAUGAUUGCAGGAUAUGUGCAGUCUAAUAGGAUGGACUUGGCGAGGGAAUUCUUUGAGGCAAUGCCCUGUAAGAACGUCAGCUCUUGGAACACAAUGAUAACAGGUUAUGCUCAAAAUGGGGAUAUAACUCAUGCCAGAAAUUUGUUUGAUUGUAUGCCUAAUCGUGAUUGCAUCUCUUGGGCAGCAAUUAUUGCUGGGUAUGCUCAAAGUGGCAACAGUGAGGAGGCAUUGCACAUGUUUGUUCAAAUGAAGAGAGAUGGUGGGAGGAUAAAUAGGUCGGCAUUUACUUGUGUUUUGAGUACAUCUGCUGACAUUGCUGCAUUCGAGUUCGGAAAGCAAAUACAUGGACGACUUGUCAAGGCUGGAUAUCACACUGGGUGUUAUGUAGGAAAUGCACUCCUAUCAAUGUACUGUAAGUGUGGAAGUAUUGACGAGGCAUAUGACGUGUUCGAGGAGAUAGCGGAGAAGGAUGCUGUCUCUUGGAACACUAUGAUCAUCGGUUAUGCAAGGCAUGGUUUUGGCAAACAAGCUCUUAGACAAUUCAAAUCAAUGAAAGAAGCGGGUAUCAGACCUGAUGAUGUCACCAUGGUUGGUGUAUUAUCUGCUUGCGGCCAUACCGGCUUGAUUGACAAGGGCAUGGAACACUUUUACUCAAUGGGUCGAGUUUAUGGAAUAGCUACAAAUCCCAGGCAUUAUACUUGCAUGAUUGACCUUCUGGGUCGAGCUGGGCGACUGGAUGAUGCUCAAAAUCUAAUGAAGGACAUGCCUUGUGAACCAGAUGCUGCUACUUGGGGUGCUCUCCUUGGGGCAAGUAGGAUUCACGGAAACAUUGAAUUAGGAGAAAAGGCUGCUGAAAUGAUUUUCAGAUUAGAGCCUUGGAAUGCAGGGAUGUAUGUCCUUCUCUCAAAUUUAUAUGCAGCUUCUGGCAGAUGGCGUGACGUUAGCAAGAUGAGAUUAAAAAUGAGGGAUACAGGUGUAAGGAAAAUGCCUGGUUACAGCUGGGUUGAGGUGCAAAAUCAGAUACAUCUUUUUUCAGUUGGUGAUACCAUGCAUCCAGACAGCAAGAGAAUAUAUGCUUUCUUGGAAGAGUUAGAAUUACUAAUGAAGCAGGAGGGUUAUGUCUCUGCCACGAAAUUGGUCCUGCAUGAUGUGGAUGAAGAGGAGAAGGCGCACAUGCUCAAGUAUCAUAGCGAAAAAUUAGCCGUUGCCUUUGCAAUUCUAAAUGUACCAUCUGGGAGAUCAAUUCGUGUGAUGAAAAAUUUAAGGGUUUGUGGAGAUUGUCAUACUGCAAUCAAACUCAUAUCAAAGAUUGUGGGUAGAUUGAUUAUUGUUCGGGAUAGUAAUCGUUUUCAUCACUUCAGUGAAGGUGUUUGUACCUGUGGAGACUAUUGGUAGUACUAGAGUGUGAAAGUCAACUAGAUUUUAGCCGCAGUAAUUCUUAGCUAUUUUGCUGGCCAUCUCCAUAACUGUUGAGGAAUUACUGUAGUUGUUGCACACGAGAAAGCAAAGCACGGACACUUCCUUUUUAGUUCUUCCUCUAUCCAGGAUACAUGAGAAACUUUUAUCUGAAGCAACAGCACAGAAGAGGGAUAAGUGGAUAAACCCUUUCUUGUUGUUUGGUGAAUUUGGUACGUAUAAUCUGUGAUCUCCUCAUUGAUGUUGGUAAAAAGAGAUAUGCUGAGAUAUAUGGCCAUAAUUCUUGCACUUACGCACCAUAGAACAAAGGGAGGAGUAAUAGUUUCCUUACGAUUCUCUGAGAUCUGAUAGUCAGAAUAGAGUGAGGUGAAUUUGUAGGAGGGUUUAGCAAUUGUGCAUUUAAAAUAAGUCAUGUACCACUUCAAGAGUACUUUGGUCCUCUGUUCUCGGGUGAGAGAUUCUUGAUUGGCUCCUUCCUCCUGUCUGGCCCAAACACAUGACAGUGACUGUUUGAUCAUAAACCAUAAAUCUGCUCUACACUAAGCUCACUGACUGAUUUCCUGCUUCUUUGAGCCCCACUAGCUAAGUGUGGCCCAGCAUUUACACAUAGUGGAACUCUCCUCAAAAUCUGCUUACUACCAGAACUUAUACAACAACAACAAAAACAUACCCAAUGAAAUCCCACAAGUGGGGUGUGGGGAGGUAGAGUAUAUGCAGACCUUACCUCUACCUCGUGGAGGUAGAAAGGCUGUUUCCGGAGGACCUUGGCUUGAGUAUAUCAAAUCAAAGUAGGUAUGAAAAGGAAAAAAACGACAGUGUAGAAAACAUAGCCACUUGUCAAGGACUACCAAAACUUAUGCUAUCUAAGAUUACCCUGGCCCUAAGUUAACCUCAUCUGCGGCCACGAGAAAAGUAAUAAUCUUUCCUGGAUAUAGUGAAGAGCACAUGUAUUGGAUGACUAGACAAUCACCAAACUCACUUGUAGUUUGUACUAGUAUCCUUCUGAGUUUUGAGAGCAAAAGGAAGAAAGGAGUUAUACUUCGAAGUCCAAACACACUGAACAGAAUGGUGGAAAAAGCAACAUUGCCUGAAGGUAGAAAAUACUUUUAUCAGUUAAGUGGAUCCAAUGGGACAAUUUUGGGUACGGAUGUGAACAUGUCUGCUCGAGCCACUUUAUCAUUCCAUUCAGAGACCAUACAGUUUGACACAGGGAGGUUAGACAUGUAAAUCUACAUAAAUUUGGAAUAGUGUAAAUAUAGGUCUUUUACCGGUGAAUGUUCUAUUCUAUUUCUAUCAAAAAGUAUAAAGCAGAAAAUUCAGCUGAAGAUUAGCGGCAUAUGAAACUACUGUAUCAUCUAGUUUAUACAGAGAUAUUCAAAUAUUUGGAAAAUAGAGUU